rnacentral:lncRNA from 1 species
UAAAUUGCCUCAUCCACCAAUAAAUCAAGAUAACCAAAAACCUCCUUAUUCCACACUCUAAAGAUAACCAAAAACAAAGGCAACCUUGCCCCUAACCUUAGUCGAAGUCCAGGAUCUCUCCAUGCAAGACAAGAAAUCACCAUGAUCGAUCCAUGCAUUAAAAAACUUAAACGACUUAGGACCUCAAUUUGUAUCACCCCC